rnacentral:rRNA from 1 species
AUCGAACGCUGGCGGCAUGCUUUACACAUGCAAGUCGAACGGCAGCGCGGGCUUUGGCCUGGCGGCGAGUGGCGAACGGGUGAGUAAUGCAUCUGAACGUGCCCUGUAGUGGGGGAUAGCCCGGCGAAAGCCGGAUUAAUACCGCCUACGAACUGUGGGUGAAAGCGGGUGACCGAAAGGCCUCUUGCUAUGUUGGUGGCAGACGUUGGUUUCGCUAGUUUGUGGGGUAAAGGGUUACCAAGGCGACGAUGCGUAGCUGGUCUCAGAGGACGACCCGCCACCUUGGCAGUGAGACAGAGCCCCGACUCCUGCGGGAAGCCACAGUCGAGAAUUUUAGGCAAUGGGGGAGACCCUAAUACAGCCAUGCGGGGGGCGGGCAGAAGGCGCUCGGGUUGGUAACCGAUUUUGUUCGGGGAGAAAUACUCUGGGCUAAUACCCCGGGGGAAUGACGGUACCGGAAGAAUAAGCACCGGCUAACUACGUG